GGGGAUAUAGCUCAGAUGGUAGAGCACCUGCUUUGCAAGCAGACCGUCGUCGGUUCGAAUCCGACUUUCUCCACCA
rnacentral:tRNA from 1 species